CCUUGACCUCAAAUCGGGUGAGACUA
rnacentral:rRNA from 1 species